AUACGGAGGGUGCAAGCGUUAUCCGGAUUCACUGGGUUUAAAGGGUGCGUAGGUGGGUAUGUAAGUCAGUGGUGAAAUCCCCGAGCUUAACUUGGGAACCGCCGUUGAUACUAUAUAUCUUGAAUGCCGUAGAGGUAAGCGGAAUAUGUCAUGUAGCGGUGAAAUGCUUAGAGAUGACAUAGAACACCAAUUGCGAAGGCAGCUUACUAUGCGGUGAUUGACACUGAUGCACGAAAGCGUGGGUAGCAAACAGGAUUAGAUACCCUGGUAGUCCACGCCCUAAACUAUGGAUACUCGACAUACGCGAUACACUGUGUGUGUCUGAGCGAAAGCAUUAAGUAUCCCACCUGGGAAGUACGACCGCAAGGUUGAA
rnacentral:rRNA from 1 species